UACGUAGGGUGCAAGCGUUGUCCGGAAUUAUUGGGCGUAAAGAGCUCGUAGGCGGUCUGUCGCAUCGGCUGUGAAAACCCGAGGCUCAACCUCGGGCCUGCAGUCGAUACGGGCAAACUAGAGUACUGCAGGGGAGACUGGAAUUCCUGGUGUAGCGGUGAAAUGCGCAGAUAUCAGGAGGAACACCGGUGGCGAAGGCGGGUCUCUGGGCAGUAACUGACGCUGAGGAGCGAAAGCGUGGGGAGCGAACAGG
rnacentral:rRNA from 1 species